AUCAAAUUACGUUAUUAACACUCCCAACCUAUAUCAACUGAGGUUUUCCAUAGUUUGACAGAUUAUAUCUACAGUAUUUCAUAGAAAUUUCAUAGAAAACAUUAAAUAGAAAGUACCCCCAAAAUGUUUUUUCCAUUGUUAUCUGAAAGCUAGCCCUGCUGCCUCCAUCUUGGAUCUAAUAUUUGUCAAGCAAGGAAUUCAGGUAGAUUGGAAACUCAGUGGAGGUGGUAGGGGAGUUUAUUGGGGAAGAAAUAUGGCAGUGAGAAUAGAUUUAUUUUGUGGCACCGUGUCAGUUCGUCUUCAGCCACUUUUCGGGUGUAGAAUGGGUGUUAGGUUAACUAGAGGAAGGGUGAAGAGCAGGACA